rnacentral:lncRNA from 1 species
UGCUCUUGGACUAAAACCCAUGUUAUGGGUUUGAAUAACACUUCUUGUUAUAGUGAUAAACCAACUAUAAGUUUGAUUUGUACAUACAAAAUGUACAGGUACGUCAUCCUGGUUUUACAACAAUGAAUAAGCAACUUUGCUUUGAUAGUUUCUACGAUAGACAUUUGAUAUGAGAGGAUACAAUUUACCUGAGCACAAAAGGAACAAAAGAAAAUCACAUUAUGUAGUUGAAGCCUUAGCUUGCUUGCAUCCAUGUUCUGGGAUUAGAUGUUCAGUGGCAGCUCUCUUUGGUCUCAACUGCAACGGAAAAGCAGUAAGAAACUGCAUUAAACACCCCACACCUACUCUCAUAUUUUAUGCAUGCGUCCAUGAAUUUCUAUAUGUGACUAGGAAGUUGUUUAGAUGCAGUCUUAUAACAUAAAAGAAUCAUAAAAAAAAAAAAAGCUACUAACCUUCUCCUCGUCAUGCUGAUAGAAAUUUCUAGUAAGUAAAUUUUGUCUCAGUAGUUAUAACUGUUAGAAGUGUUUGAGAUAUCAGUCACGGAUAAAGAAAAUGUUCCUAGAAGGAUUAAAACAAAAAACUAUUCAUGAUAAAAUUCUAGACUUCAAAGUCAAUGAGCUAUGGCACUCUGAAUCAGGAUGCAAUUUGAAGUAGUUCUUUUAUAUUUGUAGCUCAGACAGUUCACAUGGAGAAAUAAGAUUGUCAACAUUUUCAUUCCAAUUGACAGACUUCAGAGAACAAUUUAAAUGAUUUAAGUGAUACAAUCGUUGUAUUCUGA